rnacentral:lncRNA from 1 species
GGCUGGGCACAGAAAGGAAUCCCCCUCUAAAAUGAAGAUUGUUCUAUAUCCAGUUGGUGUUGGUAUUAGGAGAUCUGCACAUCCCACACCGGUGCAACAGUUUGCCAGCUAAAUUCAAAAAACUCCUGGUGCCAGGAAAAAUUCAGCACAUUCUCUGCACAGGAAACCUUUGCACCAAAGAGAGUUAUGACUAUCUCAAGACUCUGGCUGGUGAUGUUCAUAUUGUGAGAGGAGACUUCGAUGAGAAACAUUAUUCCAUCAUUUGUGUUGAUGGAUAUCCAGGCUUCUACAGUGGUCACCUAUGUGUAUCAGCUAAUUGGAGAUGAUGUGAAAGUAGAACGAAUCGAAUACAAAAAACCUUAAAGCCAGGCCUGUCUUGAUGAUUUUUGGUUUUUUUUCAUUGUCCUGUUGAAAUCAAGUAAUUAAACAUUUAAGAGCCAC